rnacentral:misc_RNA from 1 species
UAUGAUCAUAUUUUUUUUUCAAUUUUCACUUUUAUUUUUGUUGUUAUAGAGGAAGGUUGUGUCAAUGAUAUUAUGAACGUUUUAAAAAUUGUACAUACCAGGGAACGAAAUUAAAAAUUCUAUAAAUACCCUUCGCAGAAAACACUUUAGGCGGCAAAUAAUUCGUCAGUAAACGUCGUCGGGUUUCGGGUGUUUUUUUUCUAAAAAUAAUUGAUCCACUUGCACCUUUGUUCCUGCUCAAAGCCAAAGAACUUCCCCAAAAUCGUGUGAGAACAAUGUGUUGAGUGAUUAAACUGGAAGAUAAAGGAAAACCUCUCUAGUUUAUUUAGAACUAACUAGUUUGAACCACCCAUAAUGGGAAAAUGGACGGGGAAAAAGUGCCGGCUGUUGUGCAUGUUGUCGCUGACCACGUUCUUCUUCUUCGUCGAGAUCGUCGUAGGAUACAUAACGAAUUCCAUGGCUCUGGUAGCUGACAGUUUUCACAUGUUAAGUGACGUAGCCGCUUUGGUGGUUGCCUUCGUGUCAGUCCGAAUGUCACCGAAAAAAUGGUCGAAAAACACAUUCGGAUGGGCGAGAGCUGAGGUUCUAGGAGCCCUAGUAAACGCGGUCUUUUUAGUGGCCCUCUGCUUUUCCAUUACAGUGGAAGCAUGCAAGAGAUUCAUUGAAAAGGAAACCAUCCACGACCCGAAACUGUUGGCUAUCGUCGGUGGGAUCGGUCUGCUGGUCAAUCUGGUUGGACUGUUCCUGUUCCACGAACAUGGUGCUGGUCAUGGACACUCGCACGGCGGCGGUUUGUCGCACUCCCGUAAUCGACUCACUCAGUUGGCCCUGACUGACGAUAACGAGAACGACGAAACGUUUACGCCGCCCCCGCCUCUGCCGCCCCCGAAGGGCGGACACGGACAUUCUCACUCUGCCGGACAAAUGAACAUGAGGGGGGUGUUUUUGCACGUGCUGAGUGACGCCCUGGGUUCGGUCAUCGUUAUUGUAUCUGCCCUGAUCUACUUGUAUGCAGAAAGCGACCUUCAAUGGGUACCGUGGCUCGCCUGGAUCAAGGAUUACAAGUUCUACAUCGAUCCGGCCCUCUCCCUCUUUUUGGUCCUAUUGAUCCUCAUAUCGGUGUGGCCACUACUGAGGGACUCCGCGUUGAUUUUACUGCAAACGGUACCCACCCAUAUUCAGGUAGAUGCCAUUCAGCAGAGACUGUUGCAAAACGUGGACGGAGUGUUGGCGGUUCACGAGUUCCACGUGUGGCAACUGGCCGGCGAUAGAAUUAUCGCUUCUGCACAUAUCAGGUGUCGAAACUUGUCAGAGUACAUGAAAAUAGCGGAAAAAGUGAAAGAAUUCUUCCACAACGAGGGCAUACAUUCCACCACGAUCCAACCGGAAUUCAUCGACUAUACUGACCUGCCCACCUCGUCGAAUGUAGGGGAUCCGGAAACAAGUUGUACGACCGAAGACUGCGUCCUGGAUUGUCCGAAAACCUCCAGGGAAUCGGACAAUUGCGUGAAAAAUACUUGCUGCGGACCUUCGAAGAGCAGUAGCGAGAGCAUCCUAGGGCCCGAAACCUUUAAGUCAAUCAAAAGAUUUUUUAAAAGAAACUCCCGAAACGAAGAUACACCCCAAGAAAGGGGCGAGACACCCCAACCCCCAACAACACGCCCUACCUGUGCCGACAAAGAAACUCCGCGAACAGCGUCUCCCAAGGAGUGAGCGAGAUGGAGAAGGGAAAUCUCUUAGAAAAAACGUGCGAAAGUGUAUUGCAAACCGAUUGCGACUAUAACAGUUUAAGGGGUUCCCAGUAUUCUCUAAGGGGAUAACGGGUUUUGGAGCGGAUUUAAAGUAGCCAAAGCAAGAGUGAUUCGCGUUCAGGGAUCCCAAUAGUCCAGUCAAUAUGUAGUCUUUAAGUAAUCCUCAACAUAAAUGUGAUCUCGGUCCAGAAGCUUCAGAUACUUAAUAACCCAAGGGAACCCUCGUCGAAGGGAGAGGGGUAUAGUAAAAAGUCCUUUUAAGAACGGUAUAGUGCAAUCAAAUAAAUACUUUGGAAUUUU